UACGUAGGGAGCAAGCGUUGUCCGGAAUCAUUGGGCGUAAAGGGCGCGUAGGUGGCCACUUCAAGCGUGCGGUGAAAGUCGGGGGCUCAACCCCUGAUCGGCCGUGCGAACUGGGGGGCUGGAGCACUGUAGAGGCAGGCGGAAUUCCGGGUGUAGCGGUGGAAUGCGUAGAGAUCCGGAAGAACACCGGUGGCGAAGGCGGCCUGCUGGGCAGUUUGCUGACACUGAGGCGCGACAGCGUGGGGAGCAACAGG
rnacentral:rRNA from 1 species